AUGUCCCCAUGACAACCGACGUUGGAGUUUGGAGGUGCUUGCCUUAGAGCAAGGGAAACAGCUCUCAUUCAAAGGAACUAGAAGCCUCUCCCUCAGUGGUAGGGAGAGAGCCAGGAGCGGUUUUCUGGGAACUGUGGGAUGUGCCCUUGGGGGCCCGAGAAAACAGAAGGAAAAUGCUCCAGACCAGUAACUACAGCCUGGUGCUCUCUCUGCAGUUCCUGCUGCUGUCCUAUGACCUCUUUGUCAAUUCCUUCUCAGAACUGCUCCAAAAGACUCCUGUCAUCCAGCUUGUGCUCUUCAUCAUCCAGGAUAUUGCAGUCCUCUUCAACAUCAUCAUCAUUUUCCUCAUGUUCUUCAACACCUUCGUCUUCCAGGCUGGCCUGGUCAACCUCCUAUUCCAUAAGUUCAAAGGGACCAUCAUCCUGACAGCUGUGUACUUUGCCCUCAGCAUCUCCCUUCAUGUCUGGGUCAUGAACUUACGCUGGAAAAACUCCAACAGCUUCAUAUGGACAGAUGGACUUCAAACGCUGUUUGUAUUCCAGAGACUAGGUAAGGACCAGAGCAAGGUCAGGCCUCUCUCGGGUCCCACAUAUGUCUCUUUCAGUGAGGGCCUUGAUGCUGGCUUCCCAGACCUGUCCCAGCUGGCUUGGGAUGGUUGUGACAGCCACACCAGGAACAGGAGGGAUUACUGCCCCUGCCCUUGCUAGAAGACUAUGGGAAAUCAGGAGGCCGGGCUGUCCAGCCUCAUUAGGUUCUGUUCUUUUUGUUUGUUUGUUUGUUUGUUUGUUUUUGAGUCAGUUUUGCUCUGUCGCCCAGGCUGGAGUGCUGUGGCGCUAUCUCGGCUCACUGCAAGCUCCGCCUCCCGGGUUCACACCAUUCUCCUGCCUCAGCCUCCUGAUUAGCUGGGACUACAGGCGCCCGCCACCACGCCCACCUAAUUUUUUGUGUAUUUUUAGUAGAGACAGGGUUUCACCGUGUUAGCCAGGAUGGUCUCGAUCUCUGACCUCAUGAUCCGCCUGCCUCUGCCUCCUAAAGUGCUGGGAUUACAGGCGUGAGCCACCACGCCUGGCCAGGUUCUGUUCUUAACCUGAAAUGAUACUCAGGAGCACCCCUGAGGCUUCUCUUCUGC
rnacentral:sRNA from 1 species